UACGAAGGGGGCUAGCGUUGUUCGGAAUCACUGGGCGUAAAGCGCACGUAGGCGGAUCCUUAAGUCGGUGGUGAAAUCCUGAAGCUCAACUUCAGAACUGCCUUCGAUACUGGGGACCUUGAGUUCGGGAGAGGUGAGUGGAACUGCGAGUGUAGAGGUGAAAUUCGUAGAUAUUCGCAAGAACACCAGUGGCGAAGGCGGCUCACUGGCCCGAUACUGACGCUGAGGUACGAAAGCGUGGGGAGCAAACAGG
rnacentral:rRNA from 1 species